AUAAUUCAGCGGUGGAAAAGAAAUCAAACGAGAUUCCCUUAGUAACGGCGAGUGAAAAGGGAAAUGUCCGGCGCAAAGGUUCUCCAUCGAAAGGUGGAGAGCGGUGCUGCGUAAUGGUGAAAGUCACGAUUGAUUUCAGUCAGAUCUGCAAGUCCCUUUGAAAGGGGCUCUCUACCCAGAGACGGUGCAAGGCCGGUAGCAGAAUCUGGAAUGCUGAGAUAUCGAUUAUUGGCUUUCGCCGCGGAUAGAGUCAUAUUGCUUGAGAAUGCAAUACAAAGUAGGAGGUAAACUCCUCCUAAGACUAAAUACGAUGGCAAUACCGAUAGCAAACAAGUACCGUGAGGGAAAGUUGCAAA
rnacentral:rRNA from 1 species